rnacentral:lncRNA from 1 species
CUGUGUUCUAAACUGGCAUGGUUCUAAAGACAAGGUUUAAUUGUUUGCGAGGGAAUCCGUCUGCCAUGUAAUGAGGAUGCUGAAGCAGCCCUAUGAAUAGGUCAAUGAGGUGAGGAACUGUGGCCUCCAGCUCGCAGUUGGCAAAGAACCAUUGGUGUGUGACCUUGAGAGCAAGUCCUCCAGCUCCAAUCAGGUCUUCAGAUGAUUCCAACUUUAUGAGAAGUUGGGCGUGGUGGUUCACACCUGUAAUCCCAGUACUUUAGGAGGCUGAGGCAGGUGGAUCAUCUGAGGUCAGGAGUUCAAGACCAACUUUAUGAGAGACACUGGGUCAGACCACCCAGCCAGACUGCUCCCACAAUCCUCACCUAAAGAAACUGUCUUAAGCUACUAAAUUCUGGGGGCAAUUUGUUACACAAUAGAAAACUAAUACAUAAAGAGGCUAUGUAUUAUCCUACUUACCUCAUUGCUAUGUAUCAUUUCAUAGAGAAGGGAGGAGGCAGAAGGAUGGGGGGUUUAAACUGAAUUAGUUAUUCACUCAACUCCGCUUUACCAUGCACCAAAUACAUGGAGCUAACCUGUUGCUUGGAUUCUGCUUGCCAGCAUCAUCAGGUUUGUGCAUCAAUAAGCAUGCAUGGGCUGAGGAAUAUGCCAGAUCUCUCACCCCCUCAAGCCUCCACAUCUCUCUAGCAUAAAGUCUUGCU